CAAAAUUCAAAAACCGAUAGACAUGUAUGUAAACCUCAACAGUUACAACGGAAUAUAAAUCAAAGUGAUCAAAUAUAUACAUGCCAUGAGCAAAUAAAUCAUAUCCCAAAGAUAAAUCUCAAAACCCAAACAUACGGAUAGUCAACAACACAAUAAUAAUCCAAAUGAAAAUAUAAACAACCUAAUCUAGACCGACACGACAAGCCUAGAUCAGAGCCGACACGACACCGAUAUCGGAGGAAGCUCCCGAUAUCCCAAGCAAAGACUCACCGAGACUGCUCCUGCACAACGUCUACUCACCCAUACAGGCAAGUAGGCGGUUAAAAUCACUGGGGUAAGCAUUACAUUAUCAUAAUCCAGAUAAUAAUCAAAUUCAAUAAUAUCAUGUAUUUGAAUAAUAUUAUUCAUGCAUAGAUACUUACAUUGCAACUUGAUAACUCAUAUCAACAUAUAUCAAUCACAUGAAAAAUUAUCCAAUCAUAAAUAUUCAUUCACAAACAUCAAUUAUUGAACAAUUAUCCACUCAUAGUUAUUCAUUCACAAGCAUCGAUCACAACAUCAUCAAUAAUCAUUCAUCUCAUUCCAUCACCAAUCACGAAUUUCACAUAAGACUCAUGUUAUGAUAUGCACUUGUUGACACAUAAAUGCAUGUGGUACCAAAUCUCCAAAAGGUCAUCACCUCCGAUGGACAAGUCAACAUCGCAUGUAAGGGGUCACUCCUUACAUAAUCUCCGAAGUAAAAGAGCCGGACUCUUUUACAACAACUCGACUAUGAUGCAUGGACAUGUGUAAGGACUCGAUAAUGCGACAACAAAUCACAAUCUCAACUCAAUAUAUAGGACAACACCCAAUUAUAUUGAUCAUCUCCACAACAUUGCAUUACCAAGGAAACAUGUCCACACACAAUUAAAUCAUAGUAUUCAUCAUCACAUAUCAACAUGAUUAUCAAUAAUCAUCAAUGUCAUUCAACAUCAACUACCACAUUUAGUUUCACCACUUCAAACAUUCCUUACAUUCUAGUAAGAUAGCAUACACAUCUCAUGAUGAACAUCAUAUUCAAUACUCAACUAGCAAUCAAAAACUUUCAUAUAGUCAUACAACACUAAAUAUGAAAGAUUUAUAAGGUGAUUGGCUUAAAAGGAUAUUUUCAUCAAUGUUCGUCUCUCUUUAACAUUUUACAAGAAUCUUCCAUUUUCAAAACCAAAACAAAUAAAACUCAAGGAAACCAAUCACUACCAUUUUCAGUAAUCAUAUAAUCUCUAUUCUAUCUUAAUCCCAUUUCAUUUCCUUGAAGAUUCCAUUUUCCAGAAAAAUCAACGUUCUUGAACAAUUUUCAAAGUUAAGUUUUGAUUUUACAAACCAAGUCCAAAUUUCAUUCAAGGAAGUGUUCCAGUAGGAUUAAUUGUACAAACAGUGAUUAUAUAAGUUAAAAGAACUGUUUUAAGAAGUUCGGAUUGGCCCUCGGAAGCUCGGAACAAAGUUUUAAAAGUGCUGGAAAAAGUUCUGCACGCUUAAGCGUCCACCAGCACGCUUAAGCGUCCAACUUCCAGUAGCUACUGUGACUGCACGCUUACCAGCUCAGUUACAGCACCCUUAAGCGUGCAUUCAUCAGACAGCAACUAGCGUCGCUUAAGCGACCAUUCAAAAUUCUACAGAACAAAAGUUACGGGUUUCACCCAUUUUUCACCCAAAACUCCCAAUUUUGAUCUCCCAAUACCCAAACAUGUUUCCAAAGAAUGUUUAUAGGUCAUAUAACUCACAAGGGUACUCGAAAACACAUUGAACAUGAAAAUCAAUCUCACUUUUAGCCAAUUCACCAAAUCAACCCAUUUACAUAAAACACCAACAACAAUUCAAAUUCUCAUAAUCAAUUCAUGAAUAUGCAUACCCAAGCAGUGAUUCAUCAACAAUAACAUCAAUUGAGCAAGAAUCAAAUCUCAAAUUAACCAUAACUUAGCAAAAUUCACCAAUUGAGCACAAUUUUCACAACUUAUCAUUUUUACAUAUUUGAACAUGUAAUUUCACCAACAAUCAUACAAUUAUCAUCAAUUCAUGCAUACAAACGUAACAUCACAGUAAGAACACGAAUCUAGCAUGAAUUGUUCAUCAACCCAUUUUCAUACAACAUGAGAAAAUGCAAAAUCACAUGAUUAUGAUAAAGACUAACCCCCUUACCUUAAAUGAAGAUUAGACCAAACCUAGGCUUCAAUUUAGCUCCUAAGCUUUCCCAAUUGGAUUCUUCAAGUUCUUCUCUCCAAACCCUUAUCUUCUCUUCCCACUUUCUCUCUCUAGAAAUGUUUUGUGAAAUGAAA
rnacentral:lncRNA from 1 species